UACAGAGGGUGCUAGCGUUGUUCGGAAUCACUGGGCGUAAAGGGCGCGUAGGCGGUCCUGAUCGUCGGAUGUGAAAGGCCUGGGCUCAACCUGGGAACUGCAUCCGAUACGGCGGGACUGGAGUGUGGGAGAGGUUGGUGGAAUUCCCAGUGUAGAGGUGAAAUUCGUAGAUAUUGGGAAGAACACCGGUGGCGAAGGCGGCCAACUGGACCACAACUGACGCUGAGGCGCGAAAGCGUGGGGAGCAAACAGG
rnacentral:rRNA from 1 species